CUUUAUACUGUGAAACUGCGAAUGGCUCAUUAAAUCAGUUAUCGUUUAUUUGAUAGUACCUUACUACAUGGAUACCUGUGGUAAUUCUAGAGCUAAUACAUGCUAAAAACCCCGACUUCAGGAAGGGGUGUAUUUAUUAGAUAAAAAACCAACGCCCUUCGGGGCUCCUUGGUGAAUCAUAAUAACUUAACGAAUCGCAUGGCCUUGCGCCGGCGAUGGUUCAUUCAAAUUUCUGCCCUAUCAACUUUCGAUGGUAGGAUAGUGGCCUACCAUGGUGGCAACGGGUAACGGGGAAUUAGGGUUCGAUUCCGGAGAGGGAGCCUGAGAAACGGCUACCACAUCCAAGGAAGGCAGCAGGCGCGCAAAUUACCCAAUCCCGAUACGGGGAGGUAGUGACAAUAAAUACUGAUACGGGGCUCUUUCGGGUCUCGUAAUUGGAAUGAGAACAAUUUAAAUCCCUUAACGAGGAACAAUUGGAGGGCAAGUCUGGUGCCAGCAGCCGCGGUAAUUCCAGCUCCAAUAGCGUAUAUUAAAGUUGUUGCAGUUAAAAAGCUCGUAGUUGAACCUUGGGUCUGGCUGGCCGGUCCGCCUCACCGCGAGUACUGGUCCGGCUGGACCUUUCCUUCUGGGGAACCUCAUGGCCUUCACUGGCUGUGGGGGGAACCAGGACUUUUACUGUGAAAAAAUUAGAGUGUUCAAAGCAGGCCUUUGCUCGAAUACAUUAGCAUGGAAUAAUAGAAUAGGACGUGCGGUUCUAUUUUGUUGGUUUCUAGGACCGCCGUAAUGAUUAAUAGGGAUAGUCGGGGGCGUCAGUAUUCAGCUGUCAGAGGUGAAAUUCUUGGAUUUGCUGAAGACUAACUACUGCGAAAGCAUUCGCCAAGGAUGUUUUCAUUAAUCAGGGAACGAAAGUUAGGGGAUCGAAGACGAUCAGAUACCGUCGUAGUCUUAACCAUAAACUAUGCCGACUAGGGAUCGGACGGGAUUCUAUGAUGACCCGUUCGGCACCUUACGAGAAAUC
rnacentral:rRNA from 1 species